CUGGGUUGUGCUGGUGCUGUGUUGAUAUCCAGCCUUUUCCUUUACUUGAUACUUGCCGGAAGUUUUUUGGGACUUGCCACAGAUGCUGAGAUGCCCUAGCUGCACCUGGGGAAAAGCCCUGUGCUUGUGAACCCCUGAAAGCAGGAAAUGAAGAGACAUUGAACUCCUUCAGACUUCAACAGCAAUGGGUUGAAAUAGUGAACAUGAUGUUCACUGAUGAACAAUUAUAAGACCUCUUUCUAUCUACUGCCUAUACAAAGCAGUAAUUAAAUAUUUCUAAUAACAAAACAGAGACAGAUAUAAUGAAUGCAUCAAGACUACAAAAGACACAUUGCAGCCUAUUCUAGUAUUAAUCCGGAGUGUUAUAAAACAAAAUCAAGGGAGAAGAUUAAUAUCUGUCAACUUCAUAAUGUGACCUAGUUUAUUUAGAAGACAUCUUUAUUCUCUUGGACAGAAGUAAGUGGCAUACCAGCAAUGUGACCAGUUUAGGACAAGCUCUAAGAAGUUAGACUGUACUGGGUUAUUUGUGGUUUUCACUGUAAAAGCUGUGUUGUUCCAGAUAAAACAAUUGUUGGACUGUUUUUUUGCUGAAACUCUCAUGACUGACAUAAUUGCUGAUGUAGCAGGACAAUAUGGGUUGAAGCCUUAACUGGUGGUUUUCUCUCCUCAAAGACGAGAAAAAUUUUAUUUCAAGGACUGCAAGUGGUUUUGCUUGAUACUAUAUGUCCUUUCUAGAGCACUCAGAAAAGGUUUUAAUUAACACGCUGUGCCUUGCGCUAAAAGCAAGUAUUACAUCAUUCUUUCAAAGCAAUUCUCAGUCUGCUGCUUACCAGUCUGUUCCAACCAUGAUAUUUCUUGCUCCUCCAGGAGAAGUAAUGUUAUAUCCCAAACCUGCCUGGACACAACAUUGAGUCACAUGCCCUGAUGUGGGCAUGACAUGAGUGAGAUGCAAAGACAGGAAAUAAGAAAACAGUUGAACUGUGUUAAGUAUUUUAUAAUGUAUUCAGUACUUGCAAAAUAUGAUUGCACAUGUGCAUAUUUGAUAGUGACCCACCCAUCCUGGAAAGCAUCAAAUGGUGACUCAAGUUGCCUUUAGUUUUAGAUAAGCUACAGCACUAAUGCUGAGAUGAGAAAUAAAUGGAUAGGAAGAAAUUUAAAUGAAAAAAUGGGUCUAAUAUUCAGCUUUUGAAGUAUUUGGGGGAUAGGAUGUCAUCCUUGGAGGUUUUUAUUCUGUAUAUUGUAUAUUCUGUUGUUUGGGAUACACUGUCAUUCAGAUGUGUGCUACAGACCUACCUAUGUACUCCAGGAUAGGGCAGCCCCCUGCCUCUAGUACCAGUUCUUGCAAGUGCUACAUCAUGAGGUGAGAUAAACCUUUUUGCAACUCCAUGGCAAGAAUAAAUAAUUCUAAAAUAGUUCUAAACCUUACUGUUAGUAGCAUAGUGUAAGCAACUGUCAAAAGCCAAUUCAAACAGAUAUCUGUAGCGAUAUUUUUUUGUGAUGCGUUUUGCAAGAUGUUUUUUAAUCAAUAGUAUUAAGCAUGGGAAACAUGAAUAACUGAUUUCUGUGCCUGCAAUGAACUGCAUGUUGUACAUAUGAUGUACUACGUACUAUGUUGACACCAAAGGUAGAAGUAGAACAGGAAGGUAAGACAAGCAUACAGAGCAUCUGUUCUAUGAUUUAUUUCCUUGUCUAACAUUUUCUCAUUUCUAACAUGGGUGUUAAAGAUAUAAAACUAUCACACGUAUGAUUAAUAGCACACUAUUUGCCUUCCACACAGAGAUUAUUAAAAAAAUAUAUAAAACAAAGAACCAUAUAUCUUGACCAAUGUUAGAAAAAUCACCCUCUGGUACUAAACAUUUUGAAAGACAUUUAGAAAAAAUCCAUUAGAACUUUGCUCAGUCAUCAAAAUUGGAUGUUUUUAUGACAGUGAUUCCAUUGAAGUAAUGGCAAAAGCUAGGCAGGGUUACAUCACAAUGUGCUAGUGAAUAAAGAGGUUUCUGGCUUCACACCUCAAUGUCUUUUUGGGCACUUGCUUAAUUCUUUCUAUCUUUAUGGAGAAACCACCUUCAGUGUCAUUCUUCUUUACACCAUGAUGUACACAGAAAACACUCAGGGAGCCUGAGGGUCCUCAGGAUCCAUGACUUUAGGAAAAACCACAAGCUCAGGCUUGAUCUUCAGAUUCACAUCAUGAAGAAUGUGUUUUGUCCCACAGCAAUUGGUUGAAAGCUUCAACGAUCCUCUGACUUAUUUCCUGUUUGGAAUAAAAGCAAGAAUUAUGCAAAAACCAAUAUAUUUUCCUCUACAUGAGAUUUAAAGAACUGUACGUGCUAGUGAAGACCUCAAAAACUGGAGUACUCCGUAUCAGUUAACCUUUAGUUAUUAAGAUAAGCAUUGUUUCCAAUGUAUUUAAUUUAUACGUUUCUUUCAUUUCUUUAUAUUUUUUUCUUCUUAGGGUCUCUCACUUUAUUUGUGAACUGUUCAUUAACAGAAAAGAAGCAUGAUUCAUAUGUAUUGUAGGAGUAAAAAGAGAAUACUUACGAAAGUUUUAAGCAGAUAUUUACAUACUUAGUACUAUACGUCUAACUGCACGUCUACUUAAUUCAAACCUGAAGAUAAGAUUGUAUUCCACAUGCUGCCACUUUUUCUUGUUCUGGCCAUCUAAAGAAUCUGGGAAAUAGUCUGCUUCUGGCAGCCGUGUUGUACAAAAUAUUCCAAAGGCGUUGACUCAGUUAUGUGUCUUCUGAGACCAUUGCCUUUGACAACUUCUGUACUUCAUGAUUCCUGUUGUGAUGAUUUUCCUGUUUUCUUGAGUUGUAAUGCUAAUCUAUGUCAGGCUUCCACAAAGAGUGGCCAGUGAUUCAUGUCAGGGGCCACCAUCUUUUUCCUCGGUCAAAUCUUUUGAGACGUUCUAAAAUAGAAAGAGAGGUGCUAUCAAGUAUACAUUAUUAUUUCUGCUUCUGGCCAAUCAGCAUUUGGGUUGCUUUCCUUCAACUGCUCCUCCCACAAAAAAGCUUAUUAGAAGUGCUGAUUUUAGUUAUUAGAUUGGCAAUGCAACAUCUGAGCUUAAUGCUGGGCACAUAGUACUCGAAGCAUUGGGACCUUUAAGGAUGUGUGCAUUCCUUUUUAAAGGUUUAAAAUAGUUCUCAUUAUCAACAUUUCAUGGUAAAGAAAAAUAUGGCAACUUACUAUGUUCUGUGUAUCUGGCUUGUACUUUGUGACAGGUCAAAACCAGCAAGGGGAAUUGUGUAUGAAAACUUUUUUCAUAAAACAGGCAAAAAAAUAUAUAUAUUAUUUUUCUGUGAAAGCUUUUAUUCCCUAAAUGUUUUUAUGGAAAAGAUGCAUUUGUCCCCCUAUAGGCAGGGUACUAGCACUGGUUUGAUUUGUAUUAAAAACAAAUAAAUGGAUCAUUACUUGCUCCUA